rnacentral:rRNA from 1 species
CAGUGAUAAACUGGAGGAAGGUGGGGAUGACGUCAAGUCAUCAUGGCCCUUACGACCAGGGCUACACACGUGCUACAAUGGCGCAUACAAAGAGAAGCGACCUCGCGAGAGCAAGCGGACCUCAUAAAGUGCGUCGUAGUCCGGAUUGGAGUCUGCAACUCGACUCCAUGAAGUCGGAAUCGCUAGUAAUCGUGGAUCAGAAUGCCACGGUGAAUACGUUCCCGGGUCUUGUACACACCGCCCGUCACACCAUGGGAGUGGGUUGCAAAAGAAGUAGGUAGCUUAACCUUCGGGAGGGCGCUUACCACUUUGUGAUUCAUGACUGGGGUGAAGUCGUAACAAGGUAACCGUAGGGGAACCUGCGGUUGGAUCACCUCCUUACCUUAAAGAAGC